GGCUUGGUAGCUUAGUUGGUAAAGCGCUCGUCUAGCAUACAAGAGUCCUGGGUUCAAAUCUCAACCGAGCAC
rnacentral:tRNA from 1 species